CGGAGAGCAACGGAGGGUUUUGUUUGUACUAUAAAAACUUAAAAAUAUUAUAUAUUGGGAUAUUACGCAUGAAUAAGGGUUAAAAUCAAAACCCAUUUUGAUCAGCCUCCAGUUUUUUUAUUGGGUAGUAUUAUAACUUUGUGGCUAUGGAGUUUUUUCCGGUGCGAGGGAGGUUUUUCAUCAGCAUCUAGUACUUAAAUGGAUGUGGUAGAUUUGGAAUGUACGACUUCCCCCAAGAAGAAGGACAGGAGACAUACAGUUCCAAAAUCGUUAUUAUAUUUUUUUAAUACUUGAGUUUGAAAAAAAAAAGAAAUACGCUAAGGUACUCAAACUGAAAUCGUUUGCCAGCGAGAUACCCACACCGUAGGAAGUUUCAGUAACCGAAGAAGAUAGAACAAGAAAAUACCAAGACCAAACAAAGCCGACGAAAACAUCCAAAAAUAACAAGGUCUGAUAUCUUUUCCACAAUUGUUGACGACAAUGACCAGUUUAAAAAUGACGAUUAUAACAUAUGCAAUACUGCUGUUCAUUGCAGGUAACAUCAGCGCUAUGAGCGUCAUGCAUGAGGGUCUGCUCUACCAAUGCCAGCUGGUCCAGAGGGUUUUACGACAACAGCUACCAUGGGCUUAUCCGAUGAGAAGAAAAACAAGGAGUGGUUAUUACAGGCCGCGCAGGCUUUGCAGAUGUCCAUUAGAAACUCCAAACUAUGGAAAGAGCAGAGCAACCCUUAAAUGCUUGAAGGCAGGGAGAUCUAACUGUCAUGGUUUUUAAACUGUCCCAACGCGUCGGACUUUGUUCAAGGCAGGGACGCGUUUGACUUCCGCUUUAUUCUUAAGUGGUGGGCUUGCAUAUAAAUGUAUUAUUACUAAGUAUCGAGAGCACGUGUUUGUGUCACGUCACGUGCUUUACAAAAUAAGUAUACAAACAUGGAAGUAGAACUGGAAGAAUAAUGUGCACUUGUCACGUCACAGAGGUCAGAAUGACCCUAGCUAACUACUUAGUUUAUUUGAGUUUUCAGCCCAAUCAAGUUUUUCUUUCCAUUUAAAAGAUUGAUAUUCUGUUUCAUUCCAACAGGCUUAGAAUGUCUAGGACGGUUAAAAUAUCAAUUUAUAUCAGAGAAAUUAAAAAUAAGCUUUCAGACACACAACAUGUAAA